ensembl:lncRNA
GGCGAAACGAUUGCGAACCUGCUUCGUCAACGUGCUUAGCUCGAGAUGAGCCAGAAUUAUUAUUAUGCUUUUUUUUUCUUUUCUGCAAUGUAAUGAUUGUUGGGAGGCAUAACAUUCCUUGGUGCAGAGAGUGUGUCUUCCAGAAAGGUUAGACACACUACCUGUGGAGGCCACCAGCGCCUGCCCCGCCACAGAGGGCUUCGAUCGGCCGAGGACAGGCCCCUGCUUCCCCUUCCGUGGACGGUGGUCCGAUCCCCCCCGGGUCCGCCUGGUGAUCUACCAGCGCCCAUCGAUCGCCGGACCAGAGCCCUAUCCAUAGUAAUGAGAGCUAAUGGGGCGGGACGGGCCAUCUGUGUGGACCGGCCCAGGCCUGGUUCAGCUCUAAUGGGAGCGUCACGCAGCACGGGAACCUCCACCUCCACCUCCAGCUCCCAGAGGCUAAUGAGAGACACAAAAUGGCUGCCAACGGGCCCCGCGUCGGCGGAACGAGAACCGGCCCGAAACGAGAUAAUUAUCUCUCUCUCUCUCUCUUUUUUC